rnacentral:lncRNA from 1 species
GACCCCCGCGUCGCUCUCGCGCGGGCGGCUCGGGGGCGAAACCCUAGCCGCCCACGCCGCCACACCCUCAUCCCCCUCCUCCACCUCGCCACCGCCGGAGCUCGCCGGCGGCAAAGCCGGCAGCGUGCCGGGAAGGCGGCGGCAAGGCCCAAACGGCUCGGCGGAACCGGCCCCCUGCGCGAGGAGAAUGGAGAAAACCGACGAUGGCGCGGCCAGAGGUGGAGACGGCGGUUCGGCUUGGGGCGGCGGAUCCGGCGCCCUGUGGCCGGAUCUGGCCUCUCCACCCGCGGAUCCGGUCGGCGCGGUGAGCGGCGCGACGGAGGCGGAGCGGGCGGCGAGCGGCUCGUGCAUGCCUUGCCGGCGCGGCGAGCGGCGCGGGCGUGCCUUGCCGGCGCGACGGGUGGCGAGACGGGCGGCGCGACGAACGCGGAGUGGGAGGCAGGCGGCGCGACGCGGGCCCCGGCCGGCGAGGUAGCCUGGCGCGGUGGCGGCGCGGGUUGGGGCUGCGGUGACGGCGCCUGCUCCUGCUCUGCCUCGUGCCCCCGCCCGGAGGAAGGCGAGGCUGGCGGCCAGGGCGAGGCGGCGGCCGGUGGUGUGCGAGGUGGUGUUGGCUGGACACGCGGCCAUGGCCCGAUGGACGGCGGCGUGAGGCUGUGGAGGUGCUGCGCGAGGAGGAAGCCGGUGGUGGUGACCGGGUCAUCAGGUGGCUGGCUGCCAUUGGUGACCUCAGUGGCUUACGGCAGCACGCAGGAAGCGGUUUGGCAGUGA